CUGAGAACUCACGCUCAAAAAAAAAAAGAGAGAAACCCACGCUAGAAAAAAAAAAGAGAGAAACCCAUCUCCGUCGACGCCAUCUCCGACGACGUUGAAGCCGUCGCUGUCGAGGCCUAUUACGACGACGUUGAAGCCGUCGCCGUCGAGGCCUAUUACGACGACGUGAAGCCGUCGCCGUCGAGGUCUAUUACGACGACGUUGAAGCCGUCGCCGUUGAAGCCGUUGCCGUUGAAGCCGUCGCCGUUGCCGUUGCUGUUGAAGCCGUCGCCGUUGCCGUUGCCGUUGCCAUUCGCGACGAUCGGAUACCGGUAAAGACUGGAAGCUGAUCACUGUUUUAGGCAUCCAGGCUAAAUUCACAUUGUUUGCAAUAACUUUGGAUUUUUUCUGAAAGUUGUAAGCUUAGCUUGAGCAAAGUAAGUAAAUUUUAGUUGAAAACCUUA